rnacentral:rRNA from 1 species
AUUGAACGCUGGCGGCAGGCCUAACAUAUGCAAGUCGAGCGAGCGGCUGACGGGUUAGUAAUGUAUGGGGUCUGCCCGAUAGAGGGGGAUAACUACUGGAAACGGUAGCUAAUACCGCAUACUAUCGAAUAACCCAUAUGGGAUUAGCUAGUAGGUGAGGUAAUGGAUCAACUAGGCGACGAUCCCUCUCUGGUCUGAGAGGAUGAUCAGCCAAACUGUGACGUAGACACGGCCCAGACUCCUACGGAGUCAGCAGUGGGAAAUAUUGCACAAUGGGCGCAAGCCUGAUGCAGCCAUGCCGGGUGUAUGAAGAAGGCCCUAGGGUUGUAAAGUACUUUCAGUCGGGAGGCGUUACCGACAGAAGAAGCACCGGCUAACUCCGUGCCAGGAGCCGCGGUAAUAC